rnacentral:rRNA from 1 species
CGGACGGGUGAGUAAUACAUAGGAAUCUACCCAGUAGUGGGGGAUAACUUGGAGAAAUCCAUGCUAAUACCGCAUAUGCCCUACGGGGCAAAGCAGGGGACCCUCGGGCCUUGCGCUAUUGGAUGAGCCUAUGUCGGAUUAGCUAGUUGGUGGGGUAAAGGCCUACCAAGGCGACGAUCCGUAGCUGGUUUGAGAGGAUGAUCAGCCACACUGGGACUGAGACACGGCCCAG